rnacentral:ncRNA from 1 species
UUAAAUCCGAAGAAAAGGGAUAGUAAUCAUAAAGCAAUGUUAAAGAGAGCUGAAGAUGGUGAGAUUUCAGUACGGUAGUUUGUGAUGAAUGGGCCUUUGAGGAGCGAGAUGAAAUCAAUUUGAGAGUAGUUAAGUCGUGUGUCGCACGUUAUAGCGAAUAGGAUAUGUUUGUAUCUGAAUUGAGAGGCAUUUUUAUGCAAUCUAGGUGGCAACGCGGAUAAUCUCCGUCCUAUUA